rnacentral:lncRNA from 1 species
GACAAAUGACUGAAUCCAAAGCACGGAGGCCAAAGGAUUUCUCCCCAUCUGAAUACCUUUGGGAUGUUUCUAUCAGGCCUGAUAUUCAGUAGUUUCUUUCGUCCACACCUGUCAGCUUGGAAAAAAGAUGAACUCUCAGACUGAGCUCUGGUGUGUCGACUGGGUCCCUUUUCUGCCUCCAGUUUGCUCCUCGUCCGGCUCACACUUUUUCUUUGGGGGAGAAGGAGAUAGACGCCUACCUGAGGUGGAAAAGGCUGCCCUGGUCACCGAGUGGGACUGUGGGCACGGAGGCUGCUCCUCACUAGGCUAUUGCUUCCCAGGUGAAACAACAAACAAGCCAGUUCCUUCAGAGCUACGUGUGGAAAAGAACAAAUAGAAAACCCAGUGAUGAGUUCUGAAUAAGGCUGUGAGGAACGAACGGUCAUCAGUCCCUAUGGUCUCAAGGAACGCUUAAGGAAAGGGAGUUGUUUAAACACUUAAAAACGGAAAAGAAACACAAAGCUCUUCCAUUUCGUGUGGCAAAACCAGCUCAGAAGUAUGUGACAAUCCAGGCAAAGCAUUUCAAUUUCCAGCCAGUCCAGUCAUGAUUCUCUGGCAAACUGCACAGUCAUGGUUAUGAUGCACUGGGAUGAGAGGUGCUAUAUAAAUGUCAGAUGUUACAUAAAUGUCAGGAAUGAUGAGUGUUUGUUAACGGGGGCUAAACUGUUCCUAAGCAAAGCUCCAGCUCCCAGCCAACAUGUCCUUAGCAGAGGUUCUAACCACCAAAAACCCGUGAGAAGGGAAUGCUCACCCCAGGUUGUAGAAAGGAGCCCAGCUGGGAUUUGGGGUUUGAAAACAGGAGUGGGGAUGGUGCCA